CGUACGUUCUUCCUGGGCCACCUGGCCUUGCAGCUGAUCAGGAAGCCCCAGAGCCACCUGCCCAGGUCACCAGACUACCUUCCCACGAAGCACCUGUGCUGGACAGGUCACAGGGCCAGCAGACGGCUGAGAGAGCACACGGCACGGGAGGCAGCCGGAGCAUCUAAGGUAAUGGACAAUCGCUGGGCAAAGUGGGGCUGUGGCAGAAAACAGUUUUAGAAAUCUGAGGACCUAGCAGGCGGUGAAGGUUCUCAGAGGCUGUUUCUCCGAGGACCUGGAGAUCUCCUGACGCCUUUUAAGCCGACAUGUUCCGGCCGAGGAUGGGUUAGUGCUGCUCCGCAUUACUAGCUCCGCUGGGUUAAAGAGGCUCAUCACCUCCGGCUGCUCUUCUGGUUCUGUUCUUUGCACGCACUGGGAUGCAACUACCUGGACACUCCAAGCAGGGCUGGGUUCAUGGUAAUGCGACCUGUGCAUUCUCACAGGAACCCAGGCUUAGAAAGGCCCCACUCUUAGUUUAACGCUUUGCUGUUGCAAUCUUGAAUUUCUUAAUCAUUUUUAUAAAAGGGGCCUUGCAUUUUUAUUUUGCACUGGGCCUACAAGUUAGGUCGCCUGUCCCUGCUGCGAGGCUGCCUCUCAAGGUCGGCUGCAUCUGCCAUCCCCUCCUCAGGAGAGGGGGCUGCGGAUUUAAGUAAAGCCAGAAGCUCUCCUUGAAACAGAGUCGUCAUCCAAAGCUGGUGGGGGUUUUCCCGAGAUAUAUCUGGGUCUCCCAUGCAGAACUGGAAAAACAAAUAAAAGUUGCUCGCCGUGAUAAUUGGGAUCCAUUGAUUCAAAGGCCAAGACAGGCGCCACGCUAAUUAAUGGGGGAAGCGUCCUUCUUUUCCGCUCCACGUGGAUUUGGACUUCACUCUCAGAGGAAAAGUCAAGGACUUUUGAGAGAGUCGUACGCGAUAAUGCAGGAGAACUUUGCCAACUGAAAAGCAGGAGGCAAAGUGAAGCUCCAGCAACAGAAUCUACACCCUGGAGGGGCCGGCCGGAGUCGCGCUGUCGCAGCCUGCGCAGAGGAGGAGGCAGAGCCCCGUGUUUGACUCCAGAACGACUCCUGUGGGUGCAGGCUCGGCCGCGAGACAUUCGGGUGGAAAGCUGCUCAGGAUGCCUACCACGACGGAUUCUUAGGGUCUCCAAAUACCCCCUCUUGUAACCAAAAUGUCUUAGCUCAGAACGUUUUCAUGUUGUAGCUCUGCGUGUGUGCGUGUGUGUGUGUGAGUGAGAGUGUGUGUGAGUGUGCACCCACCCACUGGCUGUAUUCAGUGGAAAGAAGGCUCAUGGGCCAAAAGCCCAUUUGGGUUUGUUUGGGUGAGUAAGAAGUGACGGGAAUUCAGAGUGUACAAGAUUAUAAAUAUUACAGAGGUUAUUCAAAAUCUCA
rnacentral:lncRNA from 1 species